rnacentral:snRNA from 17 species
AUACUUACCUGAUGACGAUGAUUUGAUGAUCAAAACAGGUCAAAUCAUCUCUCUUCAACUUUCCUCUUGCACCACUGGAAAGAGUUUAGGCGACUGUCCGUAAGGCUAGUCGGUUAUCAAAUUUCUGGUAGUGGUGGUGUAUGCGCAUGUCGCAUCUCCACU